rnacentral:rRNA from 1 species
CCUACGGGAGGCAGCAGUGAGGAAUAUUGGGCAAUGGGGGCAACCCUGACCCAGCGAUGCCGCGUGAGUGAAGAAGGUUUUCGGAUUGUAAACCUCUUUCGGCUGGGACGAUGGUGACGGUUGCUACUCAAGAAGCCCCGGCUAACUCCGUGCCAGCAGCCGCGGUAAUACGGAGGGGGCGAGCGUUGUGCGGAAUUACUGGGCGUAAAGGGAGUGUAGGCGGUUUAGUAAGAUAGUGGUGAAAUCCCAGGGCUUAACUUGGGAAUGGCCAUUAAAACUAUUAAACUAGAGUGACAGAGAGGAUAGUGGAAUACCGAGUGUAGAGGUGAAAUUCGUAGAUAUUGGGUAGAACACCAGUGGCGAAGGCGACUAUCUGGCAGUUAACUGACGCUGAGGAGCGAAAGCAUGGGGAGCAAACAGGAUUAGAUACCCGUGUAGUC